UACGGAGGGGGCUAGCGUUGUUCGGAAUUACUGGGCGUAAAGCGCACGUAGGCGGCUUUGUAGGUUAGAGGUGAAAGCCUGGGGCUCAACUCCAGAACUGCCUUUAAGACUGCAUCGCUUGAACACGGGAGAGGUGAGUGGAAUUCCGAGUGUAGAGGUGAAAUUCGUAGAUAUUCGGAAGAACACCAGUGGCGAAGGCGGCUCACUGGACCGUUGUUGACGCUGAGGUGCGAAAGCGUGGGGAGCAAACAGG
rnacentral:rRNA from 1 species